AAUAUUAUAAUAUUUUUAAUGUAGAAAAAUAUUUUUUUUGCCACAUGGCACAAUUUUGGCAGCCACGUCAGCACUUAACGGACCAAUUGAUAGAAAAUGUAAUGGACGUAUUAUAUUGAAAUAAAAUAGUAUGUGAGGUAUGAAAGUGAAAUGUUUUAAAGAUGUUGUAAGGAAUUGAAAUCGAACCCAAACCUGAGAGGGUAAAAUGUUAUUUACCCUAACUUUUUUUCUGUUGAUUUGUGUCUGUAGGUACACAAACAUAUGUACAUUUUGCUUUGAAAUUUUGCUACAAAUUGAGCGGCUUAAGGACAAUCUCUGUUUAGAGAAAUAAGUUGGACAAAGAAAGGACAUGGAUAUGGGAACAUGAUUUGUCAUUAUAUUACUUGGGGACGAGUUUUGAUAUUUUAGAAGUUGGUUGAGUUUGUGGAGAUUUUGCUUUUCACAUCUUGCUUUGUAUUUGAACUUAAUCAUUAGAACUGAACUUUAACUUUUAGGGUGUGUUUGUUUACCUUUACUAGAUCUCACUGUACUUGACUGUACUAAGAAUUACCGUAGUCCCAUGUUUGUUAAAGGAAGGGACUAGCUUUAGUGGGAUUAAACUUCACUCGCAUGGACUAAGCUAGCUGGUCUUAGUGAAGGUCCCCAAAUACCAGCGGACUCCUAAGACUACCUCUUUCUCGCGUCGUCCUGCUCGACUCCUCGCCUUGCUCAAUCGACGGCAAAGACAAGAGUUCUCCAGUCUAGCCUAUCUUCGACUCAAGCUUCGUGAAGUUGUUGAUUUCGGCCCUUAAUCUCGACCGCUUAAGUGUAUCUGAAUGCUCUAAAAUGGAGAAAAUAAUUGAUUUGGAGGAAAAUAAUCACAGAUCUGUAUUUGCAAUCACUAUCGGUGUUGAAGAGUGUAUACGACAAUGCCCUGCCAUUUCCUUGUCUGAACAAAAUCUGGGUAACUGAUUGUCCUGCGCAGAAGAGAUGCCACUCAAGAUUGGCUAACCUUUGCUUCGUGGUUGGCUAAUCUCUCCAUCAAUUUGAAGAUUGAGGUUUCCAGCGAACGACAAUGAUAGAAAUGUUUGUCAAUGUUUUUGAUCCUUGCUUCAUGAUUAUCUUCUGCAAAAAUUUGUUCUUGUUUGAAUAUUGAAAUCUUCAAGAAAUUUGUGGAGAAUUUUGUGCAAA